rnacentral:rRNA from 1 species
UACGUAGGGGGCGAGCGUUGUCCGGAAUUAUUGGGCGUAAAGCGCGCGCAGGCGGCUCCUUAAGUCUGGUGUGAAAGCCCGCGGCUCAACCGCGGAGGGUCAUUGGAAACUGGGGAGCUUGAGUGCAGGAGAGGAGAGUGGAAUUCCACGUGUAGCGGUGAAAUGCGUAGAGAUGUGGAGGAACACCGGUGGCGAAAGCGGCUCUCUGGCCUGUAACGUGACGUGAGGCGCGAAAGCGUGGGGAG